AGGAGAAACAGGUGGAAGAUGAAGGCAAUCCUUGGUGAAGAUCUCUUAGAAUUCUUAAACCCCUCCCACGCCCCAACGCUGGGUGCGAGACAAGAGCCAUGAGAAGAUAUGGGGCAGAGGGAGACCGUCUCUCAGAAGGUCUUCACUUCCAGGAAAUCAACCCACCAUGAAUCCCCAGAAAAAGCAGAAGGGAUGCUUUGUAUUCCCAUCUUGCAGAAAAUGGAAAUGGCUGAAGGCAGAGAUAGGGCGCUGCAAUUUCUCCCAUCUUCGUGUCUGCGUCAAGUAGUGCGGUAUCUGAGAAGGAUGGAUGGUGUAAUGGGUGAAGAGGUGUGAAUGGAUCCAGGGACAUCGAGUCGAAAUAUGAGGCCACGUGUGAAAUUAUUUGUCUGAAGGAAGGUUUAUUAAAACAUCCCGCGUUCACAACAGCAAGACUUGGGAAAGCUUUUGUGAGCAGUUCUUGACACUUUAAUACCAAACCCAGCUCUCCUUAUUUCACUACGUAGCUUUUUAAAGUCAGACAUGAAUCUGAGUGCUGGAAGCAAUCACACCAAUUAGUGAAGCUCUGUGACAUGUUUUGUGUUUCUUCUCAGAAAAGAAACGGGACACUGGAAAUGGACACUAGCAACGACAGCACUCAUCCCCGCUCUGCUGGGCAUGCACGUCGUUAGGGGCUGUGCAACCACUGCUGUGCCAUCCUUACGGGCUUUACAUAAAUAGCCUCCUGUUUUUUUAAAUAAAUUAUAUUAUAAAUUACGAUCAAUUAUGAACCAUCCAGCAAAAAUGUUAAUCAUCCCCAAAUCUCCAAAGGGUGCUGACUGUACCGACUUGAAUCCUGAGCUUCCAAUGGUAACCUGGUGGCUCCCAAAGUUGUUAGUUUGAAGAGGGUGUGUACCCACUGGGAUCGAUGGAUGGAUUGAUUGAUUUUUUCAGGUUUAAUUAUAUAUUUUAGAGAGAGAGUAUACAGCAUUGGGAAGGGCAGAGGGAGAGAGAAUCUCAAAACAACUCUGCUGAGCUCAAUGCAGGGCUCAGUCCCAUGACCUUGAGAUCAUGACCUGAGCUGGAACCGUGAGUCCAAUGAUUGACUGACCAAACCACCCAGGCACACCCCGACUGGGAUCAAUUUAUAAUGAAUCAAAGCUUACCUGAGUCUGUAGGAAGAUAUGCAACUUGCUCCUGGGAAGUCCUUUCAUGUCGCCGAUUAAAUGUUCUUAAGAGAGCAAGUCAGUAUUUUUAGGUGUGUUUAAUCAAUAGGAUCGGGAAAAAUUGAAUUUUGUUUCCUACCUACUAUAUACUUAUUAUUAGACAUUGCUGUACGUGUCCCCUAAAGCAUCUCUGUACUAUGUAAAGGGAAGUGAAUUCCAAUAAAGAAGUCAAUGCCCAUCUUAAUUGUUUGGGGAGUUCUGUGAAACAGUUCUAACACGGUGGGCAAUUACACUCUGAGUGUUGAGUUAGCGAAAGCAUGGAUUACGAAG